CCUGGUGAACUCACAAGUCCCCAGGAAAAACAUUGCUUGCAAACAAGAAUGUUUUAUCAGCUCCUCAAAAGGAGCAAGCCUGGGACCUUGGGAGUUUGAAACAUUAUGAAGGAACCUGUUAUGAACAGAUGUGUAGGGGAAAGGUCAUUAUUGUGGGACGCUUGCGCAGGUUUAGGUCGCUGACUCACUGCUUUGGCAAAAGGCCGGCUUUGUUUAGAAGCUAUAAUAAUAAAGAGCCCGGCUAGCUCAGGGUAUAGAAAGAGAAGACUACUGCACAGCAACUGGUGUUCGUGUAUUCAUUUCGUCGGCAACAAGAAGUAACUCAGCCCAGGCAGCCGAGUUGGAAAGCCUGGGGUUGGCCUCUACUCUGCCCAGCAAGAGCUGUGUGAGCCUGGGGCUGACAACCAGCUCUCGGGACGACGGGCCUCUUGGGAAACUGCCCCACCCAGAACACUCACUGGGCUUGCCUUCCCUGCCUCCAGUGAGGACCAGACCCAUACCGACACAGAAAUGUCAGCUUUUCUUAAUACAAGGAGGGUGUGAGUCAACCGUGGUAAACAGACAACAAAGAAGGUUCCUUUCCUCGCCACUCAGGUCGACACGUACAUUCACCUACGUCAGCAUUCUGGGGCCAAUGGAAACCCACAGUGGCCUUCGCCCCAAGGCCCAGCUGUCUGACGGGCCUGCACCUCUCGCCCUGGAGACCACAAAGGCCGCAUGAGCAGCUUGUCAGGGGCGACCUAUUAGUUCUCAUGAGGAGCAUGAAGCAUUUGUUGGCUGUUGGGAAAGGCUUUCGGCGAGUGGGUGUCUCUUCUGAUAGGAUCCCCCAUCAUGACCUGCCAGUCCAACAUUACGGACAGAGAUCGUCUGUCGGGACUUGGCUUAGUCAGAGGAGUCAAGGAAGCCUUCCCUGGAGAAGCGGCAUCUGAGCUCACAUUUGAAGGUUGACCAAGGGUUGAGGAGCAUGGGGAGGAAAGCCGGGGUGGAUUAUUCAAGGCGGAGGACCCAUGUCUGCAAGGCCUGUGCCUCUGCGCGGGGGGAGUCUGGAGAAGACCUGAGGUCCAGAACCUGGAGGAAGGCCAGCAUGGGUCAGAAAGGAAACCGACGGACUACAGUGUCAGCCACUCAAGCUUCCCAUGCCAGCACUCAUGCUGAGGCCUCUGGCAAGGGCUGCAGUGCAAGAUUGGGACGUUGGGAGCACUGGACGUUGCCCAGCCUCUGCAGGGACGGUAGGUGGCACUGUCGGCACAGACAUCGCUGCUGCUGGAGCCACGAAACUGAGGCUCCGGGGGACCUUGGAGGACAAUGCCGUGAUGCUCCCGAAACUGGCUGCUCCCUUCUCCGGGCCCUGGGAGGGAAGACAACAGCAGACAACUGCACCUGACCCAUGAUGGAUGUGUAGUGUGAGCAAGCAGUGAACUCUGUUGCUGUAAACCACUGAGAUCUGGGUGCUGUUUGUUACUGCAGUGUAACCUAGACCAUCCUGGCUCAUCAAGCAAAGCCCCUGGAAAUAAUGGUACUAUUUGCAGAGCACCAUGAAAGGUGCAUAGCUUUAAUUUCUUAUAUAAACUAGAAUUCUUGUUAGCAAUAAUGAGUAUCACUUAUGAGCGCUCACUAUGACUCAGGCAUCAUACUAGUUUCUUUGGCAAAUGUUUCCCCAUCUAUUCCAGCACGGCUGCGUGAAUUCGUUAUCACUGGCCUGUUGAGUAUCUUUUGUCUUGUCACAGAGGUCAAGGGACAGAGGCUGAGGGAACCUGAAGGUCAAGACCAUAGCUAGUAAGUGGUGGAAAUGAGAGUCAAGCGCAGGGUGUCUUGCCCCCAAACCCUCGCUCUUGCCACCACUAAGCUGCUAUUAUGUAUGAAACAUGACUAGGCCUAUCAAGGAAAAACCCCAUGCAUUUAAAAAAAAAAGGAAAUUCUCUCUUAACAGGAAAAACAUUAACAUCUGCCUUUUUACUCAAUUGAAGUGAAAGAUGACGUUGACGGGCUGAGCAAAGAUGCCCGCUCUCUGUGUCACGGUUGACGAGAGAUAUUCUGUGUCUUCUCCUCGGAUUGAGCUGUCUGCCAGACAAGCAGCAGCAGGCACAAAAGAUGGAAGAAAAGUGUAAAGAGGAUCAUUUUUUCCUUUCCUUGAAAUGUUUAUGUGCAAGCUGGGAAAUUGCCUGCAUUAUGCGUUUUUCCAAUGGAACGGUCUGAGAGCUUUCCGCCCCAGGGAUAACUUCAGGGGAGGAAGAUCAGAGCACCUCCUUGCUCACGCAGUCUCGCCUGCCUCAGAGGCCCUUCCUCUCACCUCUGACCCGCUAACCCAGAGGGCUCAGCUCCACUGUGGCUGCAUUGCAGGCCCUCCCUGUCCCGCCAGGCUGGGCUCCCUCCAUCACCCCACGGGGACGUAUGGAAGUGAAAUGACUUAACCUCCAUUUGAAUCAGUCUUCCCACCUGUAAAAUGGGAAUAACGGUGGUGCCCAUCUUACACAGUUGUGAUGGAAAUUAAAUGAACUGGUACUUGUCGUGUGCUUAGCCCAAAGCCUGGCUGUGGUAAGAACUCAACUAAAAAUUAAUAGUAUUGUAUAAUAAUUAAUAAUAAACAUUCACUGAACGGAACUGAAAAACCUGGAAUAAGAAAAUUCAAGUUUGCCAAAUGUUCGAAUCGGGGGGUGGUGGCCCACUGUAGAAGGAAUCAGUCUGUCUUCCUGGAGGCUUCACACAGUUUUUCUCGAAAUAUCCAGCUUCCCCCAACUCUUCGAAAUAGGAAUGUUUGAAAACAACCAAGUAGAACUCAUUGGUGAUGCUGUGUCCUUUCGAACGUAGUCCACAGCCUCUCUCUGGGACAAAGGUGAGUUGAUUCACUCGAUUGAUAUUUGUUGAGCUCCUGCUGUACGCAUGCCAGGCACCGGUCUAGGUGCCAGGGAAGCAGCUGUGAACAGAACAGACAACGCCCUGUCCGCAGGGCGGGUAAGGAGGUAGAAGAGGAAGCCCUUCUCCACCCCACCCCUGAUUAGGAGGCUAUAGCAUGACACACGGACAAAGAGGGAGGGAAGCCAGGCAGCAGGUGGCGCCAGGAGAAUCUGGACAUGCCCUCUGCUUUAGCUUUGAAGAAAUCGAAUUGGUUAUCUUCCUAGUUUGAGCAGGUGUGGGUCUGCUUGCAGGCAGGGGAUGCACUUGAUAAACCAGCUGGUCCUCUCGCCACCCCCACCCCACACACUCCCGCGUCCCCCUGCGCCGCCACAGUCACAAAGGGGAACCGGGCCUGGCCUCCUAGUGGCUCCUACUGGAAGUGACGUCUUGCAGGAGCCAGCUUUGUUCUUGUCAUCCCCCGGGGCCUGUCUGUGCCCGAGCCCAGUGACUGGUGGGGGAGCUGUAGUCUAGCUGCAGAGCCAUGAUUUCCUCCAAAAGCCGCUAACUGGCCCAUGACCUUGGCCUCAUUAACUUGGCACUCUCCACCUGAGCCGCCUGGAUCGGGGCCAGCCAGGGAAAUUAGCUCAGACCCACAGGCCCCUGGGAGAGGUGUCAGGCAAAAAUAGACCAGAGACAGCCAGAGAAUCCUUGAGCAGGAGGGCCCGUGGAGGUCAUAGGCUCCAGCAUCGUCCUAGCUCUACAGAUGGAGGCCGAGGCCAGGGAGGCAAAGGUGCCCAGCAUGGUCAUGCUGCAGUCGGCACAGAACUGGGGUGAGAAUGAGGGUCACCUGACUCCCAAAGUCACGCUCAUCCCUCACCUGUGCGUCCCAUCAGGUGUGGUCAGGGAGGGAGGGACAAUAGGAAUUGCAGAUACUGGAACAAUUCUUCAUAGGUCAUUGUUCUGUUAAAAAAAAAGAAAGCAAACAAGCAUAUAAAGAAGUAAAAACUGGCCUGCAACACAGAAAACUGCUGUGAAAUUUUUAAAUAGAUUAAAAAAAUGACACAUCAGCGGACAGUGUCACCUGGUAGGUGAAUGUGGGGACUCUGGAACUCCAAAGCCUGGGUUUGAAUUCCAGCUCCACUCCUUACUUGCUGUGUAUCUUUAAGUGCAUUGCUUUACCUCUCUGUGCCUCGCCUCCUUCACCUGCAAAAUAGGGAUAACAGUGGAGCCUGCCUUGUCAUGGUGGCGUGAGGGGGAGCUCAUGCAUGAAAAGCACCAUGACCCAGGGCCGCCGCAGAACUGCACUGAAUCAGGGUUGGUAGGGAAUGUCAACUGCACAGAAAGAGUAAGAAGAAAAGCAAAGGUCUACUUGCCCGCCUGGGCCCUUGCUCCAAAGUGAAUCUGUGUUAACAGCUCCCUGUGGACCCUUCCAGGAGGGAAGCCGUGCAGCCACCAGCACAUAUGUGUGUGCACCGUGUGUGCUGAGCAGUAUCCUUGCAAACACAGCAUUAAAGCAUCCUUCUUCA